rnacentral:rRNA from 1 species
UAUUAUGAGAGUUUGAUCCUGGCUCAGGACGAACGCUGGCGGCGUGCCUAAUACAUGCAAGUCGAACGCUUCUUUCCUCCCAAGUGCUUGCACUCAAUUGGAAAGAGGAGUGGCGGACGGGUGAGUAACACGUGGGUAACCUACCCAUCAGAGGGGGAUAACACUUGGAAACAGGUGCUAAUACCGCAUAACAGUUUAUGCCGCAUGGCAUAAGAGUGAAAGGCGCUUUCGGGUGUCGCUGAUGGAUGGACCCGCGGUGCAUUAGCUAGUUGGUGAGGUAACGGCUCACCAAGGCCACGAUGCAUAGCCGACCUGAGAGGGUGAUCGGCCACACUGGGACUGAGACACGGCCCAGACUCCUACGGGAGGCAGCAGUAGGGAAUCUUCGGCAAUGGACGAAAGUCUGACCGAGCAACGCCGCGUGAGUGA